rnacentral:rRNA from 1 species
UACGGGGGGGGGUAAGCGUUGUUCGGAAUUACUGGGCGUAAAGGGCUCGUAGGCGGCCAACUAAGUCAGACGUGAAAUCCCUCAGCUUAACUGGGGAACUGCGUCUGAUACUGGAUGGCUUGGAUUCGGGAGAGGAAUGCGGAAUUCCAGGUGUAGCGGUGAAAUGCGUAGAUAUGGGGAGGAACACCGGUGGCGAAGGCGGCCAUCUGGACGGAUACUGACGCUGAGACGCGAAAGCGUGGGUAGCAAACAGG